rnacentral:rRNA from 1 species
GACGAACGCUGGCGGCGUGCUUAACACAUGCAAGUCGAACGAAGUGGCGAACGGGUGAGUAACGCGUAAUCAACCUGCCCUUCAGAGGUGGACAACAGUUGGAAACUACUGCUAAUACCGCAUACUUAAGUCGGGGCUUCCUUCUGAUUAGCUAGUUGGAGGGGUAACGGCCCCCCAAGGCGAUGAUCAGUAGCCGGUCUGAGAGGAUGAACGGCCACAUUGGGACUGAGACACGGCCCAGACUCCUACGGGAGGCAGCAGUGGGGAAUAUUCCGCAAUGGACGAAAGUAUGACGGAGCAACGCCGCGUGAGUGAUGACGGCAUUCGGGUUGUAAAGCUCUGGUAAUCGGGACGCGGUACCGGAAUAGAAAGCCACGGCUAACUACGUGCCAGCCGCCGCGGUAAUUC